GUCGAACGGACCCUUCGGGGUUAGUGGCGGACGGGUGAGUAACACGUGGGAACGUGCCUUUAGGUUCGGAAUAGCUCCUGGAAACGGGUGGUAAUGCCGAAUGUGCCCUUCGGGGGAAAGAUUUAUCGCCUUUAGAGCGGCCCGCGUCUGAUUAGCUAGUUGGUGAGGUAAUGGCUCACCAAGGCGACGAUCAGUAGCUGGUCUGAGAGGAUGACCAGCCACAUUGGGACUGAGACACGGCCCAAACUCCUACGGGAGGCAGCAGUGGGGAAUCUUGCGCAAUGGGCGAAAGCCUGACGCAGCCAUGCCGCGUGAAUGAUGAAGGUCUUAGGAUUGUAAAAUUCUUUCACCGGGGACGAUAAUGACGGUACCCGGAGAAGAAGCCCCGGCUAACUUCGUGCCAGCAGCCGCGGUAAUACGAAGGGGGCUAGCGUUGCUCGGAAUUACUGGGCGUAAAGGGCGCGUAGGCGGACAUUUAAGUCAGGGGUGAAAUCCCAGAGCUCAACUCUGGAACUGCCUUUGAUACUGGAUGUCUUGAGUGUGAGAGAGGUAUGUGGAACUCCGAGUGUAGAGGUGAAAUUCGUAGAUAUUCGGAAGAACACCAGUGGCGAAGGCGACAUACUGGCUCAUUACUGACGCUGAGGCGCGAAAGCGUGGGGAGCAAACAGGAUUAGAUACCCUGGUAGUCCACGCCGUAAACGAUGAUUGCUAGUUGUCGGGCUGCAUGC
rnacentral:rRNA from 1 species